UCUAUACACUUCUUUUCUAUAGUCUGCACUUUUUUGUUAUUAUAUUCACUUAAACCUAUUUUAAUAUCAAGUUUUCUAUAUCCUUUCUUUUUUUUGAAAUACAUAAAUUAACAAUAGUCACAAUAUUAAAAUUUUAUAAAUAAUACAAAUAAAACAAUAAAUUGGUUAAACAUUAAGUAACGGAUAGAAUAUGGAGCGGACCGAAUACGGUAUCGA
rnacentral:lncRNA from 1 species